rnacentral:rRNA from 1 species
GACAGAGGUGCCGAGCGUUAGGCGGAAUCACUGGGUUUAAAGGGUGUUUAGGCGGGCUAUUAAGUCAGUGGUGAAAUCUCCGGGCUCAACCCGGAAACUGCCAUUGAUACUAUUAGUCUUGAAUUUUGUUGAGGUAGGCGGAAUAAGUCAUGUAGCGGUGAAAUGCAUAGAUAUGACUUAGAACACCAAUUGCGAAGGCAGCUUACUAAGCAAAUAUUGACGCUGAGGCACGAAAGCGUGGGGAUCAAACAGG